rnacentral:tRNA from 1 species
GCGGGAUUAGUUCAAUGGUAGAACGAAAGCUUCCCAAGCUUUAGGCACGGGUCCGAUUCCCGUAUCCCGCUCCA